AGAGUUUGAUCCUGGCUCAGAUUGAACGCUGGCGGCAGGCCUAACACAUGCAUGUCGAGCGGAUGAAGAGAGCUUGCUCUCUGAUUCAGCGGCGGACGGGUGAGCAAUGCCUAGGAAUCUGCCUGGUAGUGGGGGACAACGUUUCGAAAGGAACGCUAAUACCGCAUACGUCCUGCGGGAGAAAGCAGGGGACCUUCGGGCCUUGCGCUAUCAGAUGAGCCUAGGUCGGAUUAGCUAGUUGGUGGGGUAAUUGCUCACCAAGGCGACGAUCCGUAACUGGUCUGAGAGGAUGAUCAGUCACACUGGAACUGAGACACGGUCCAGACUCCUACGGGAGGCAGCAGUGGGGAAUAUUGGACAAUGGGCGAAGGCCUGAUCCAGCCAUGCCGCGUGUGUGAAGAAGGCCUUCGGGUUGUAAAGCACUUUCAGCGAGGAAGAACGCCUUGGGAUUAAUACUCCCGAGGAAAGACAACACUCGCAGAAGAAGCACCGGCUAACUCCGUGCCAGCAGCCGCGGUAAUACGGAGGGUGCAAGCGUUAAUCGGAAUUACUGAGCGUAAAGCGCGCGUAGGUGGCUAAGUCAGCCAGGUGUGAAAGCCCCGGGCUCAACCUGGGAACUGCAUUCAAAACUGACAAGCUAGAGUAUGGUAGAGGGUGGUGGAAUUUCCUGUGUAGCGGUGAAAUGCGUAGAGAUCGGGAGGAAUACCAGUGGCGAAGGCGGCCUUCUGGACUGACACUGACACUGAGGUGCGAAAGCGUGGGUAGCAAACAGGAUUAGAUACCCCGGUAGUCC
rnacentral:rRNA from 1 species